rnacentral:misc_RNA from 1 species
AUGAUUGACCGAAAGGUCUUAUCAACUAUCCAACACCUCUUGUGAACCGUUGACCUCCGGGUCUCUUUAUACAAACAUCAGUGUAAUGAACGUCAUGUUAUCUUAACAAAAACA